GAGGUCGAGAGGGAGAGCCCAGGAGAUGGAGUUGUGCUUGGAGGCUCGUCGUCUCGCCGAGAUCUUACCGGCCUCGAGGAGCACCGAUCUCAACUGCAGGGCGCGAUCAAUGAGCUUGAUCUGAUCGGUGUCGGAGUCACGGGAGUCGAGGAUCCACUCGAAGGAGAGAUCGAUGGUGAAGGGCGGCGAGUCGGAGAAGUCGAGGAAGGUCUCAAGGAGUCGCGGUCAAGGAGGUUGGGAUGGUAAGGG
rnacentral:lncRNA from 1 species